AUUUUCUGUUUUGAAUCGUCAACAUACUUUGGUUAUCUUGCACAAGUUUAGCUAACAAAUUUAAAGUUUAAUUUCUGAACGUCUGUGGAGAAUUAAGUGUAAAGUAAUUAUGUGUUUGAAGGAUUUGUUUGUUUGUUUAUUAACAUCUAAUCGUAUUAAAAUUAUUUGUACAAGAAAUCCAUUUAAGCAGUUUUUAAAAUGAUAAGUUAAAAAAAGAAUCAAAUUGACGCCAGUAUGAAAUUUAAAACGAAAAGUGCGAACGUUUUUGCGUUUAAACAUGUUACGAAAAAUAUAUUUUAUUGGGUUUCUUCUGAAUUUGGUUCAUCAUAGUUAUUCUCAAAGUUUUGUAUGCCCUUCAAAUGGAUUUUUUGCAUACUCUGGCAAUUGUUCAAAAUAUUACUAUUGUUAUAAUGGGGCGUCCUAUAUCUUUACUUGUCCAUCAUCGUCGGUUUGGAACCCUAACAUAAAUGAAUGCGCAGUUAGCUCACCUUGUGUGUCUACGACCACUACUACCACUACAACAACUACUACAACCACAACAACAACUACUACUACUAAACCUACCACUACUACCACUAAAACAGCAAGUACUACAACUAUCCCAACCACGGUCUCAACCACUCAGUCCACUCAAACCUCUACCAUUUCUCCUGCUACCAGUAAAACCACGGAUAUAAUUAAUAAUGUGGAUUGCGUUGAUCAAGUAUUUUACACUAAUACGCAAUAUUGCGCAGCGUUGUAUAUUUGCUACAAUCGGACAAUGUAUGGAUUAAUUUGCAACAAUGGUCUUAUGUGGGAUACGAAGUUGAAGGCUUGCAAUUAUUUGAUAGAAACAAAUUGUGGAUCAAGAUCUACUGUUAUGCCAGUUUUUACUACGACCCCUGCGCCUACGACAAUCACAACUUCGCAAACAACGCAAACAACUGAAAAAGUUACUGUCCCAACAAUUGAAACAACGCAAGCAACAGUUCCCUCAAUUGCAACCAUGCAACCUACAACUAGCGCUAUAACAACAACUGAAAAUAUAGAUUGUAUUGAAGGAUCUUACUAUCCUAAUCAACUAAAUUGCAAAGAAUAUUACUAUUGCCAAAAUGGAACGUUAUAUACAUUAGAAUGCUCUGACGGAUUUGUGUGGGAUACAAAUUUAAAACGUUGCAAUAACGCUGAAUUAAUAGACUGUGGAAAUACAACUACUACUGCAAAUUCUGUUACUACAGAAGUUAGUACAACUACUACUCCAAACCCUGUCUCUACUACUGAUUCAAUUCAAAGUACUACUAUGCCCCCUGCGACAAGUACAACCACAGAUAUAAUUACUAAUGUAGAUUGUGUUGAUCAAGUAUUUUAUUCUAAUAUGCAAUAUUGUGCGGCAUUGUAUGUUUGUUAUAAUCGUACAAUGUAUGGAUUAAUUUGCAAUAAUGGUCUGAUGUGGGAUACAAAGCUGAAGGCUUGUAAUUAUUUAAUUGAAACGAAUUGUGGAUCGAGAUCUACUUCCAUGCCUGUUUUUACAACGACCCCAGUGCCUACGACAAUCACAUCUGCUCAAACAACACAAACAACUCAAAAAGUUACUGUUCCUACGACUGAAUCAACGCAAGCUACGGUCCCAUCAAUUGGUACCACGCAACCUAUAGGGGAGAGCAGGUCUGUGUUUGUGUGCGUGAGACCCACUCGCACGCAUAGGUUACUCGCGGGGUGAGACGUCAGUGCAGCCGCCGGCUUCGACGCAACGAGUCGUAACGUGAUUUCGCGCCAAAACCAUGCCGCGAAUAUAUAUUAAAAAGGGACGAGGACGGGAGAGGUAGAUGAAGGUGCAAUAGAAUCGGCGAUAAAAGAAGUUUUGGAUAAGACAUUAUCUAUUAGAAAAUCUGCACAAAAAUAUGGCGUCAAACCAACAACACUCGAAAGUCGUCUGAAAAGUUUCAUCAACAAGAAGCUGCCGAAAAUAUGCCUACCCGUGCGUUCACUUCCAAGUUUACGUCAAAUCAGGUGUUUUCAACUGAGGAGGAAGCCCUUUUAAACAAUUACAUUAUUGAAUGCUCCAAAAUGCACUACGGUCUGACGAUCAUCCAGGUCAGAAAAUUGGCAUAUGAGUUUGCAAAAGCCAAUCAGCUUAAUUUUCAUCCGAGUUGGCAUCAUAAUAAAAUGGCUGGUAAAGAAUGGUUGGAUAGUUUCCGCAGGCGAAACGGAAACCUGAGUCUUAGAAAGCCUGAAAAUACCAGCGCCGCUAGAUCAUUUGCUUUUAACAAGACUGCUGUAACUGAUUUUUAUAAUAACCUUGAAAAGGUUCUAACAAAGUACAAAUUUACUUCA